AGAGUUUGAUCCUGGCUCAGGACGAACGCUGGCGGCGUGCCUAACACAUGCAAUUCGAACGGAGAUAUUUAUUUCGGUAGAUAUCUUAGUGGCGCACGGGUGAGUAACGCGUGAAUAACCUGACCCGAAGAGGGGGAUAACACCUGGAAACAAGUGCUAAUACCGCAUAAGACCACGGACCGGCAUCGGUCAGAGGUCAAAGGAGGAAUCCGCUUUGGGAGGGGUUCGCGUCCCAUUAGGUAGUUGGUGAGGUAACGGCCCACCAAGCCG
rnacentral:rRNA from 1 species